ACGGGAGGCAGCAGUGGGGAAUAUUGCGCAAUGGGCGCAAGCCUGGUGCAGCGAUGCCGCGUGAGGGAAGAAGGUUUUCGGAUUGUAAACCUCUGUCAACAGGGACGAAAAUGACUGUACCUGUGAAGGAAGCUCCGGCUAACUACGUGCCAGCAGCCGCGGUAAUACGUAGGGAGCGAGCGUUAUCCGGAAUUACUGGGUGUAAAGGGAGUGUAGGCGGGACUGUAAGUCAGAUGUGAAAUAUGCCGGCUCAACUGGCAGACUGCAUUUGAAACUGCGGUUCUUGAGUGAAGUAGAGGUAAGCGGAAUUCCUAGUGUAGCGGUGAAAUGCGUAGAUAUUAGGAGGAACAUCAGUGGCGAAGGCGGCUUGCUGGACGACAACUGACGCUGAGGCGCGAAAGCGCGGGGAGCAAACAGGAUUAGAUACCCUGGUA
rnacentral:rRNA from 1 species